rnacentral:rRNA from 1 species
GACGAACGCUGGCGGCGUGCCUAAUACAUGCAAGUAGAACGCUGAAGGAGGAGCUUGCUUCUCUGGAUGAGUUGCGAACGGGUGAGUAACGCGUAGGUAACCUGCCUGGUAGCGGGGGAUAACUAUUGGAAACGAUAGCUAAUACCGCAUAAUAUUGACUAUUGCAUGAUAGUCAGUUGAAAGGUGCAACUGCACCACUACCAGAUGGACCUGCGUUGUAUUAGCUAGUUGGUGGGGUAACGGCUCACCAAGGCGACGAUACAUAGCCGACCUGAGAGGGUGAUCGGCCACACUGAGACUGAGACACGGCCCAGACUCCUACGGGAGGCAGCAGUAGGGAAUCUUCGGCAAUGGACGGAAGUCUGACCGAGCAACGCCGCGUGAGUGAAGAAGGUUUUCGGAUCGUAAAGCUCUGUUGUAAGAGAAGAACGAGUGUGAGAGUGGAAAGCUCACACUGUGACGGUAUCUUACCAGAAAGGGACGGCUAACUACGUG